AGGUGCUGCACGGCUGUCGUCAGCUCGUGUCGUGAGAUGUUGGGUUAAGUCCCGCAACGAGCGCAACCCUCGUGUUUAGUCACUAACAGUUCGGCUGAGGACUCUAGACAGACUGCCUGGGUAACCAGGAGGAAGGUGAGGACGACGUCAAGUCAUCAUGGCCCUUACGGCCAGGGCUACACACGUGCUACAAUGGGGUAUACAAAGAGCCGCAAUACCGCGAGGUGGAGCAAAUCUCAUAAAAUAUCUCCCAGUUCGGAUAGCAGUCUGCAACUCGACUGCUUGAAGUUGGAAUCGCUAGUAAUCGUGAAUCAGCAACGUCACGGUGAAUACGUUCCCGGGUCUUGUACUCACCGCCCGUCACACCAUGGGAAUUGAAUUCAUUCGAAGCGGGGAUGCUAAAAUAGCUACCUUCCACAGUGGAUUUAGUGACUAGGGUGAAGUCGUAACAAGGUA
rnacentral:rRNA from 1 species